rnacentral:lncRNA from 1 species
CUUGAAUUCUUAUAAAUACAGAAUUUAUAAACAAAAUGAUGGACACUCUUCUAAUACUGGAGAGCGCCCGGCGCCAAGACCAGAGACACCGGCGGAGCUGCCCUAGGCGGGCGCACCCACGCCUGUAAGCCCGCCGCCCUCCGCGACCUUCUCUUCCCGGAUUGGUAGGCGGCUAGCGGCGGUGAGGCGGGCGCCUAAAUCCGGGUCCUUAGACGUUCGUCCGGGACGCAGCGCUCGCCGUCCAGCCGCGCUUCCUUCACACCUGCUGGCAUGCGUGUGGGCGCCCGCGCAGGUUCUUAAAAUGAAGAAGUUUAAUUUCCGAAAAGUUUUGGAUGGCUUGACUGCCUCCUCACUGGGCAGUGGCAGCAGCAGUGGCAGUAACAGCGGUGGGACUGGUAGUGGUCCCUUGCAUCCAGGAGGGACAGCUGGAGUUCUGAGAGAGGAGAUUCAGGAAACCUUGACUUCAGAAUAUUUCCAGAUUUGUAAGGAAUACCAGGUUGAAUCAAUAAUCAAAAUUGCUACACAUAUUUUUUGUGAGUGACAGGCUGAGAGGUCAGCUAGGAAACAGCAGAAAACAGAAGACAAGACUGCAGUGAUAGAAAAAGAUGGAUAUCAAGCCAAAUGCAACAUCACUGCGUGCUGUCGGGCAACAGCAAAGGAUCCUGUGCACACAAAAAGAAAGUUGCACAAUAUGAAGGAAGCAGUAAAAAUGAAAUGAAGUAGAAGAGACAUGCAGAAAGAAAAAUGCUCUCGGAUGUGUCACAAUCGUCUUGAUUCUUUACCUGGAAAACCUGUAUUUUUUCCUUUGUAAUUAUCUAAUAUACUUUGUGUCAAAGAACAAGGACCUGAGUUCCACUUAAAGAAGAUGAAGAAGUUAACAGAUACCGUUC